CUGGUCCCGGCCAGAGCCGUCCCCGUCCCGCGCCGCCGCUCAAGCUCAGAGAAGGGGCGUGGGGCCACCCCGGGAGCGGCGCAGCCUUUUCCCUACGCGUUGGAGCCCUGGGCUCUGCUCGGCUCCGCUAGUGGUGCCGGAUCCAGGCGACAGCGCGACAGACACCAUUGCCACGUGGGUGCAGCCUCAGGACGUCCUGAAAGCCGGAGAGAAUCAGGUCACACGAACGUGGCCGGUCUGUUGUUAAGCUUCUGCCAAGAGCCAGGCCCGGGGCAGGGGGAGCCCUUCAGAACUGGGAAUUGUCCCUACCCACGGGAAGCUUAGAGGAUGGAGGGCAAUGCGGGGCACAGGUCAUUGGCCUGACCUCCAAGGGGAGUUCCAGGAGUUGUUUCUGGAAGAGGCGACGGGGAGGCCCCAGGAAAUGGCUUGCAGGCCGGUACCAUGAGCAAUGCAAAUGGACCAAGAUGGGGGCAGCGCACGAGUCAACCAUAACCAUGGCAAGCCCGCCCAUGUGGCCUGAGAAUCUGGGUGAGGAGAACGGGGGCGAUGGAAAGGACUGCCCUCCAGCACCCAGGUCAGGAGUCUGCACUUGAUCUUGUGCAAGGAAGGAGGUGGCCAUUGAGAGAACUGACCCAGUGUGGAGGACCAAGCGAGGAAACCCCAGAGCCAGAGACCAAUUCGACAAAAGGGGUGCUGAGGCUACACACCCAGGCAGUGUCACAUGGAAGUGGGGGACAAAGAGGAAUGAACAUUUGGAGUUGGGAGCCCCAAAACCUGGAGAAUGACUGGAUUCCAGGUUAGGGAAGUGAAGGGUGGAAGAUCUCAGAGGGUUCUUACUCAUGUGGCCUGCCUUGGAUGUCACUAACCAGCAGGGAAGACACAGAAACAUCGAGCAUGUGGUUAGUUUUUUGUUUGUUUGUUUGAGAUGGAGUUUCAUUCUUGUCGCCCAGGCUGGAGUGCAAUGGCAAGACCUCAGCUCACUGCAACCUCCGCCUCCUGGGUUCAGGUGAUUCUCCUGCCUCAGCCUCCCAAGUAGCUGGGAUUACAGAUGCCCACCACCAAACCCAGCUAAUUUUUGUAAUUUUAGUAGAGACAGGGUUUCACCAUGUUGGCCAGGCUGGUCUCAAACUCCUGACCUCAGGUGAUCCACCCGCCUCAGCCUCCCAAAAUGCUGGGAGUAUAGGUGUGAGCCACUGUGCCUGGCCGAGAUGUGGUUAUUGACAUCUCAGUGGGAUUGUGACAUAGCAGGGCUGAACAGAGAUCCGGGUACUCUCUGUAUCCUGGGGUGAGACUGUCAUCUAGGGCAGGGGUCUCUGGCCUCUUUGAGAAUCUGGUGCAUGGGACAGACCCUCUAGUCUGGAGAAGCACACACAAUGUCACAUGUGUGACACGUGACAUGCAACAUCAUUCUCAAACAAUAGCCUGCUUUGGAAGGCCCCCCUGACACCCCUACUGCCCUUGGCACCCCACGGACCCCCAGUGAAGAGCCUCUAACCAGGAGAGAGCAAGGGGAGAAGAAACACCAACUGGGAGAGAAAAUGGACAAGAGCCAUCCUCAUGGGGGAUGUGAAUGGGCAAAAGCCGAGGUCCAGAGGCUGAAGACACAGAGAUGCAUCUGUGGGGGGUCUGGUGAGUGCCCAGGAAAUAAUGGAUUUUUGAAGCUUUCGUCAGUGGUUCCGGCUUGCCAGUGAACACACAGAAUUUACAAUUUUCAUUUGGUUAUUGCUAAUUUGAACAUGGCAGAGACAGUUUGAAUAUGCCAUUACAGUGUGAAAGAACAGUGGCCCCACAUUUCAAGCAGAACUAGUGACAACCAAGUGGUGCUUAAUUGUAAGAGGAACUGUCUUGGGCUUUGCGUUACUGGAGGGUUCCUGGCAUUUUAUAGACCUAAUUUGUAUACAGAUGGAAUCCUAUGUUAAAUGCAAGCGUGGUACUCGCUACUAAGAAAUCCCAUGUAAAUAGGGCCUUCUUGGUAAAGUUUAUCAUCGUUCACCUUUUGUAUUCUCAGACCCAAAGCACUGCAUUCAUUCACUCAAUUUUCCUUGCACCUCUUUGUCUAGAGACUAAGAUGAUUUAUUUCUUAUUUAACACUAUGAAAAACUAAUUUAUGGUUAGGGUGGAUUACCUCUCACAUCUCAAAUGGGGAAGGUGGCCAGGCACGGUGGCUCACACUUGUAAUCCCAGCACUUUGGGAGGCUGAGGCAGGCAGAUCACCAGAGGUCAGGAGUUCGAGACCAGCCUGGCCAACAGGGCGAAACCCCAUCUCUACUAAAAAUACAAAAUUAGCUGGACAUGGCAGUGCACACCUGUAAUCCCAGCUACUCGGGAGGCUGAGGCAGAAGAAUCACUUGAACCCAGGAGGCAGAGGUUGCAGUGAGCUAAGAUCAUGCCAUUGUACUCCAGCCUGGGCAACAAGAGUGAAACUCCAUCU
rnacentral:lncRNA from 1 species